rnacentral:lncRNA from 1 species
UUUUUAGUCGCACUCUCGUAAUUCAUACAGCACACCCUAGUGGGCAGGACUGGUAAUGCGAUCAACGCAACAACAGCCAAACGCUAAUCUGCGCAAGUCGGCGCUGUUGUCAUAUCGGUUGCCGCCUUCCUUGCUCGAUAUAGUUGGCACAAUGUGCACUCCGUAGGUUUUUUACUAUUACUCGAGCUUUCGCCACUACACGGGUGAAGACACAGCAAGCUUUCCCGUCAGAAAGAUUCACUCGCCGAUUCGUCUUGCCGCGUGCGACGCAACGAGACGCUGCCACACAUCCUAACCGACUCGCGAAGCGAGAGGAAAAGCACCCCUUUGUCACGGCUGACGCCCAUCGGACGCCACACACCGUCAGCGCGCGGCAACCACUAUGCCUCCAUCACAACAGCGUAGGCCUUCCGAGAGCGAUGACGACAACGACGUCCCCAAAAACGAAGAAG